GAUGAAGAACGUAGCGAAAUGCGAUAAGUAAUGUGAAUUGCAGAAUUCAGUGAAUCAUCGAAUCUUUGAACGCACAUUGCGCCCGCCAGUAUUCUGGCGGGCAUGCCUGUCCGAGCGUCAUUUCAACCCUCGAACCCCUCCGGGGGGUCGGCGUUGGGGAUCGGCCCUGCCUCUUGGCGGUGGCCGUCUCCGAAAUACAGUGGUGGUCUCGCCGCAGCCUCUCCUGCGCAGUAGUUUGCACACUCGCAUCGGGAGCGCGGCGCGUCCACAGCCGUUAAACACCCAACUUCUGAAAUGUUGACCUCGGAUCAGGUAGGAAUACCCGCUGAACUUAAGCAUAUCAAUAAGCGGAGGA
rnacentral:misc_RNA from 1 species